ensembl:lncRNA
GGCACUUGGGGGUCAGAGGCACUUGGGGGUCAGUGACAUUGGGGACAGUGGCACUUGGGGGACAGUGGCACUUGAGGGUCAGUGACAUUUGGGGAGAGUGGCACUUGGAGGUCAGUGACAUUUGGGGUCAGUGGCACUUGGGGGUCGGUGACAUUUGGGGUCAGUGACAUUUGGGGUCAGUGGCACUUGGGGGUCAGUGACAUUUGGGGAGAGUGGCACUUGGGGGUCCGUGGCACUUGGGGGUCAGUGGCACUUGGGGGUCAGGUGGUGACACCUCCACUCUGGGUGUCCCCAACAGUCGGUGGCACUGUCCCUUGUGUCCCCUCUGUCCCCAGUGUCCCCACUCCCAGUGUCACCUCCCAUGUUGUCCCUUCCUACAGUGUCACCUCCACUCCCGGUGUCCCCAGCAGUCGGUGGCACUGUCCCAGGUGUCCCCUCUGUCGCCAGUGUCCCCACUCCCGGUGUCACCUCCACUCCGGGUGUCCCCAACAGUCGGUGCCACUGUCCCUUGUGUCCCCUCUGUCCCCAGUGUCCCCACUCCCAGUGUCACCUCCACUCCCGGUGUCCCCAACAGUCGGUGCCACUGUCCCUUGUGUCCCCUCUGUCCCCGGUGUCCCCACUCCCAGUGUCACCUCCACUCCCGGUGUCCCCAACAGUCGGUGGCACUGUCCCUUGUGUCCCCUCUGCCCCGAAUGUCCCCACUCCCGGUGUCCCCUCCACUCCCGGUGUCCCCAACAGUCGGUGGCACUGUCCCUGCUGUCCCCUCCACUCCCAGUGUCCCCUCCCAGGGUGUCCCCUCCCAUGGUGUCCCUUCUCCCAGUGUCCCCUCCACUCUCGGUGUCCCCAACAGUCAGUGCCACUGUUCCUUGUGUCCCCUGUCCCCAUUGUCCCCUCUCCCGGUGUCCCCUCCCGUUGUGUCCCAACAGUCAGAUUCCCCUGCACUCCCUGAGUCCUCCCCACUCCGUGUCCCCCCCCAGCUCCGUGGGGUUCUGUGCUGUGGGGCUGCGGGUGUUGGUGCUGCGGGUGUUGGUGCUGCGGGUGUUGGUGCUCCCAUGGGUGUUGGUGCUGCGGGUGUUGGUGCUGUGGGUGUUGGUGCUCCCAUGGGUGUUGUUGCUGCAGGUGUUGGUGCUGCGGGUGCUGUUAAUUCCGCGGGUGUUGUUACUGCGGGUGUUCUUGAUCCCGCGGGUGUUGGCACUACGGGUGUUGUUGCUGCGGGUGUUGUAGAUCCUGCAGGUGUUGUUGCUCCCAUGGGUGUUGUUGCUGCGGGUGUUGAUGCUGCGGGUGCUGUUAAUGCUGCAGGUGUUUGUGCUGCAGGUGUUGGUGCUGCGGGUGUUGUUGCUCCCAUGGGUGUUGUUGCUGCGGGUGUUGUUGCUGCGGGUGCUGUUAAUUCUGCGGGUGUUGUUUCUGCGGGUGUUGUUAAUGCUGCAGGUGUUGUUGAUCCCAUGGGUGUUGUUGCUGCAGGUGUUGUUGCUCCCAUGGGUGUUGUUGCUGCGGGUGUUGUUGCUCCCAUGGGUGUUGUUGCUGUGGGUGUUGUUGAUCCCAUGGGUGUUGUUGCUGCGGGUGUUAAUGCUGCGGGUGUUGAUGGUACAGGUGUUGAUGCUGCGGGUGCUGUUAAUGCUGCAGGUGUUGUUGAUCCCAUGGGUGUUGUUGAUGCUGCGGGUGUUGGUGCUGCGGGUGUUGGUGCUGCGGGUGUUGGUGCUGCGGGUGUUGUUGCUGCGGGUGUUGCUGAUCCCAUGGGUGUUGGUGCUGCGGGUGUUGUUGAUCCCAUGGGUGUCGGUGCUGCGGGUGUUGGUGCUGCGGGUGUUGCUGAUCC